GGGGAAUAUUGCACAAUGGGGGAAACCCUGAUGCAGUAACGCCGCGUGAGUGAUGACGGCCUUCGGGUUGUAAAGCUCUGUCUUCAGGGACGAUAAUGACGGUACCUGCGGAGGAAGCCACGGCUAACUACGUGCCAGCAGCCGCGGUAAUACGUAGGUGGCAAGCGUUGUCCGGAUUUACUGGGCGUAAAGGGAGCGUAGGCGGACUUUUAAGUGAGAUGUGAAAUACCCGGGCUCAACCUGGGGGCUGCAUUUCAAACUGGAAGUCUAGAGUGCAGGGGAGGAGAGUGGAAUUCCCAGUGUAGCGGUGAGAUGCGUAGAGAUUAGGAAGAACACCAGUGGCGAAGGCGACUCUCUGGACUGUAACUGACGAUGAUGCUCGAAAGCGUGG
rnacentral:rRNA from 1 species